CAGGCCGCAGGGACAGCUUCUCUUGGUUUCACAGGCCGCAGGGACAGCUUCUCUUGGUUUCACAGGCCGCAGGGACAGCUUCUCUUGGUUUCACAGGCCGCAGGGACAGCUUCUCUUGGUUUCACAGGCCGCAGGGACAGCUUCUCUUGGUUUCACAGGCCGCAGGGACAUGGAGCAUGGAAGCAGGUUCCACCUAAAAGACUGCAAGAUAGCGUGCUACACAUACAGUUACCUAGAAAGAAGACCAGGGUUACAGGAGCCUUGAAGAGAGCUAUCUGACAGUUCAUGGAGACCAAUUCACCUGCUGAAUAUCGCCAAACUAAACCUUUUGGGGAUGCAUCACCUAGGAUUGUUGAAAGAUGAAGGCAUAUGAAUGUUCACAUUAUGUGCUCACUGAGAGGUGACUGCAGUUUGUCAAGACUUCUGGCUCUUCUUAAAGGAGCCUUGAAGAGAGCUAUCUGACAGUUCAUGGAGACCAAUUCACCUGCUGAAUAUCGCCAAACUAAACCUUUUGGGGAUGCAUCACCUAGGAUUGUUGAAAGGAAAUGAACUCUCCUCGUGGGGUCACAACAGCUGUAUGUCUAAAGAUGAAGGCAUAUGAAUGUUCACAUUAUGUGCUCACUGAGAGGUGACUGCAGUUUGUCAAGACUUCUGGAUCUUCUUAAAGGAGCCUUGGUCCAAGGUCUUGAAGAGAGCUAUCUGACAGUUCAUGGAGACCAAUUCACCUGCUGAAUAUCGCCAAACUAAACCUUUUGGGGAUGCAUCACCUAGGAUUGUUGAAAGGUA